CUCAACCGGGGGAAUGCGUUCGAUACUGUCAGACUAGAGUGCGGAAGAGGAUAGUGGAAUUCCUGGUGUAGCGGUGAAAUGCGUAGAUAUCAGGAGGAACACCAGUGGCGAAGGCGGCUAUCUGGUCCGCUACUGACACUGAGGCGCGAAAGCGUGGGGAGCGAACGGGAUUAGAUACCCCGGUAGUCCACGCCGUAAACGUUGGAUACUAGGUGUGGGAGGAUCUACCCCUUCCGUGCCGCAGCUAACGCAUUAAGUAUCCCGCCUGGGGAGUACGGUCGCAAGACUGAAACUCAAAGGAAUUGACGGGGGCCCGCACAAGCGGUGGAGCAUGCGGAUUAAUUCGAUGCAACGCGAAGAACCUUACCAGGACUUGACAUCACCGCAAGGAACCGUGCUCCUGUAGAAAUAUGGGUGCUUAG
rnacentral:rRNA from 1 species